ACGAGUAGCAGCAACUUAUAAGCUUAAUAUUUAGGUGUUCUAUGGCAUACUAUAAAUUGUACAUAUAUACACAAUAUAGGCAGAUAUAAAGAGUAUUUACGUGUAGUACGUAUCAAGUGUAAAUGAUAUGUUGUAGUUUCUACUCUCUUAGGAAG
rnacentral:rRNA from 12 species